AUUAAAUGAAAUAGAGGAGGACGUCAAGUAGGUAUGGCCCUGAUGAAUUGGGCUACACACGUGUUACAAAAAUAAUUACAAAAAAAAAAUAAAUUGUGAAAUUUAUUUAAAUUAUAAAGAUUAUUAUAGUUCGGAUUAUUUUUUGAAAAUAAAAAUAUGAAGUUGAAAUCGUCAGUAAUCGAAAAUUAGAAUGUUUCGGUGAAAUGGGAUCCAAAUCUAGUACACACUGCCCGUCACGCCAAGAAAGUUGUUAAUAUUGGAAAAAUUAUAAU
rnacentral:rRNA from 13 species